CUUCGGACGUGUAUCAAGAUAAGGAAGCGAUUUUACAGCCCACCGGCGGAGUAAAAGCACUAGAAACUCUUUAUAGCUUGCGCGACAAAAGCGGACAGUAUCCUUCAGGCGAGUGAUGCCACAAUUUGUCAACACGAAAAUAGUACUUCUAGCUGGCAAAGCGGGCAACGUUGCAACGUGCCGGUAGCUUAUCUGGAUUACUGUAAUGCAGCAAUAAUAGAUCGGCUUCGGAAUGGUCUGUGGAUAACCUUUUUAGUACAUUGCUCGGAGCGAUAACAUGCUUGCCAGUUUUACAUGAGGUUUCGUUGCACGAGAAGACGCCAUUGCAGUGCCAGACAGUUUUGGAAACAUUUGUACACGUGACAUGUUUCUUGUAUUCCCACCCUUAUUCAACUAGAACGAUCGUCCUAUCGGGUGCCCUUCGAUUUGCAAGUAAAUCCAGUAGCUUUACUGAGUGCAGUGAGUCAGUCAGUAAGAACAUGCUGGAAUAAGCAAGGAUACUUAUGAAGUUCGGCGUUUGCAAAAUCGGACCAGUGAAAAACACGAAAAAAGGAGGUUUGCGUAGGAAUUGGGAACGGAAUAUGUAUGCGUGUGUGUAUGUGUUGCAUUCUGGAUGAAGAAUAUCCUAAACUUUCAUACAAGGGGGUAAUGAUGGUGCCUUGGACUGCCAAAGUAAAUGCAAACAUUCAAACGAUGAUAGUUGUUCGGUUUGCUGCCAUUUCAAUGUCAUUUCUUUUGCACGCUCCACUUUGUCCAUCUUGGCCAGGCUAGCUGGAGGUGGAAAAUUCGUGUUCGGUCCAGGUUCUGUAGGAUAUUUUAAGCGUUCUAUAGUGCAACUGGGCAACUGGUAAGUGCAUCGAUGAACACGACAGGACGUAACCAUGUCCGGCUUGGUUCGUGCACAAUCGCGCACAGUGAUGACGCUGUUUCCAAUCGAGUGCCCUUUGCCGGAGCGGAGCUUUUGCCAGACAUAUUACCCUUCCAAGUGCCGAGUGAUGUCAUGUCCCAACGUGACCAAGCGGAUGGCAUUUGUUUUGCUCAUUCCUGUCACGUUCGGCACACGUGAAGAACCAACUGUACCGAAAAAAAAGGCAGAAGCGGGACUCGCUUAUGGAAAUGCGAGGUCCUGUAUUUGGAAUCUUCUGUGGAAACGAAAUCUUCCAAUGAUUUCCAACGGCAGUGGAACAUCAGCACUCAGCCGUUGAUGCCACUCGUACUGUAACAUUUACACACACACAUACACAUUAAACUACCUCGGACGGAGGCCGAGGCAAUUGAAUCCCCGUUUGCAAAAGGCAAAUUUGCGUCCACAGCAUUGACAAUCGAGAAUUGCUGUCCAAUGUACCUAGCGCGUGUACCUAGGACCGUGAGUGUGACACUGAACCUGGGCAAAGGCAUGGUUUGUCAAAAGACGUGCGGACAGUUUGCCAUACAAUUUUUCUCAAUGUACCGGCGCGGACGUGAUUUGUUGCCGGUUCGUUUCCAUACAGACGACGUCAGCAGUGGUGUGUAUGUGUCAUUUAUAUCAAUUUUUCUCCCGUUCCACGUGGACAGUUUCGCUCGUGUGGCAAGUUCGUCGGGAGCUUUCAGCGCCUGGAGUAGAUGGAGAGCAAAAAAAAAAA